UACGAAGGGGGCUAGCGUUGUCCGGAAUUACUGGGCGUAAAGCGCACGUAGGCGGCUUUCUAAGUCAGGGGUGAAAUCCUGGAGCUCAACUCCAGAACUGCCUUUGAUACUGGAGAGCUAGAGUCCGGAAGAGGUGAGUGGAACUGCGAGUGUAGAGGUGAAAUUCGUAGAUAUUCGCAAGAACACCAGUGGCGAAGGCGACUCACUGGUCCGGUACUGACGCUGAGGUGCGAAAGCGUGGGGAGCAAACAGG
rnacentral:rRNA from 1 species